rnacentral:sRNA from 10 species
GGCUGGGCCCAUGGCAGUAGGUGAUCAGAACUUACUAACUUACUGUCACUAAAGUUGGUAUACACUCCCCCACUGCUAAUGAGACUGGCUUUAA